AUUGAACGCUGGCGGCAGGCCUAACACAUGCAAGUCGAGCGAGCGGCGGACGGUUGAGUAAUGUCUGGGAAACUGCCUGAUGGAAGGGGAUAACUACUGGAUACGGCAGAUAAUCCCGCCUAACAUCAGCUGUGCCCAGCGGGUAUGCGCUAGUAGGUGGGGUAACGGCCCACGUAGGCGACGAUCCCUAGCUGGGCUGAGAGAAUGACCAGCCAAACUGGAACUGAGACACGGUCCAGAAUCCUACGGUAGGUAGCAGUGGGGAAUAUUGCACAAUGGGCGAAAGCCUGAUGCAGCCAUGCGGCGUGUGUGAAGAAGGCCUUCGGGUUGUAAAGCACUUUCAGCGGGGAGGCGUUACCCGCAGAGGAAGCACCGGCUAACUCCGUGCCAGCAGCCGCGGUAAUAC
rnacentral:rRNA from 1 species